GUAUCGACUUGGAUUACGAUGAAUUUCAUAUCGAUGGACUCGUAUGUUCGCCAGCCCUGGCUACUGUUUUUCUCUUUGGGGGUUGCACAUUGUUGCUAAUACUUUCUAGAGAAUUUUUUUGUGUUGAGAACUUAAUUGGGAAGAGUCCGCAGCAGGCCAUUAUAAAUCACAAAACUGGUUUAAACACUUAAAAAGUUUUAUUCAAAAUUCGUGCUCAAUUACAUAUGCAUUUACAAAUAAAGCGCCACGGAAUGUUUUCCCAUCAAAUUACUUUGUAGCUCACAAUUCAAUUGGAGGAGAGGAUGAUGCAUGGAGAUAUACAAUAAACGGGCAAUAAUACAAAAGUAAACGUUUUCAAACUAAUUUAAAUCAUACUUAUGACAUAGUACCUACGAUACACUCAUUUAUAAAAAAAAA
rnacentral:sRNA from 1 species